GGCUCAGGAUGAACGCUAGCUACAGGCUUAACACAUGCAAGUCGAGGGGCAGCAUGUGGUUGCUGCAACCAAUGAUGGCGACCGGCGCACGGGUGAGUAACGCGUAUCCAACCUUCCCCUUAGUAGAGGAUAGCCCGGCGAGAGUCGGAUUAAUACUCUAUGUUCUUCAAUGCGGACAUCUAAGUUGAAGCAAAGAUUUAUCGCUAAGGGAUGGGGAUGCGUCUGAUUAGGUUGCAGGCGGGGUAACGGCCCACCUGGCCUACGAUCAGUAGGGGUUCUGAGAGGAAGGUCCCCCACACUGGUACUGAGACACGGACCAGACUCCUACGGGAGGCAGCAGUGAGGAAUAUUGGUCAAUGGGCGCGAGCCUGAACCAGCCAAGUAGCGUGCAAGGACGACUGCCCUAUGGGUUGUAAACUGCUUUUAUCAGGGAAUAAAGUGAGGCACGCGUGCCUUUUUGUAUGUACCUGAUGAAUAAGGACCGGCUAAUUCCGUGCCAGCCGCUGC
rnacentral:rRNA from 1 species